GCAAGCCAUCUCGAGCCGAAGGGCAGGACGGAGACCCUGGCCGCACCUGAAGGCAGCGGACGUCGCGCCAGCGCCAGACGCACGCACAGGAGAUCGACGGAGCGCCUGGAAGCCAGACGAGGGCAGCGCGCUGCUGCGCCCAAGGCGAACAGGUCCAAGGAGGACCAGACGCAGGUCAGAUUGAACCUGAGAAGACCGACGAGGCCAGACGCAGGUAUGUGUUCUCCAUCAUCUAGCAGGUGUGUUCCAGAGGCGCAGAUCGAUCGUCCACGAGAGCUACGCAGCAGAGAACGCGCCCAGGACGGCGAACUUGUACCAGAGCACGCAUGCCUAGCAGCACCAACCAGGUUCACAUGGAUGGAGGAGGCAAUACGCAGGGGCAGCACGCCUCACCACGGCGACGCACGCCGCACACCACAACGCGUAAGGUUCAUCGAGGUGAACAAGGCUAGGCAGUGCCCAAGGCGGACAGGUCCAGGAGCGCCAAGACAAAGUCCGGGGACAUCAAGGCCAUGCGGCCGCCCAGACCGCGGCCACGACGACACGCGCUCGUCCAAGCCUCCAAGGUGCCAUGGAGGUGUAUGCAGGACAGGAGGAGAUAUGUUUGUCUCCGGAGUUUAGCAAUCUCGUGAUUGCCAUCUGGGCUGUGUACCACAUUCUGACGCCCGUCCGAUGCGGAGCGCCAUCUUCAUCAAUAGCCCGUCAACAUAAGCCUAAGCGCCAUCGUGGGCGACAGUGCGGACGUGGGCGACGUCCACACAGUGCCCGUCCCAGACGGAGCGUUACCUUGCUGAACAGGGCGCCGUCUUCAUCGACAAGCUAGCUGACGUUCAUGUGAACACCGCCGACGGCGCCAGAUACAAGAGGAUCGCCACGAUAGGGCGGGGCGCCUUCUUCAUCAACCACCCAUCGACAUCUGCCUGAGCGCGCCAUCAUGCAUGAUGGUGCGGAUGUGGGUGACAUCUACAUAGUGCCCACUCCAGGCGGCCGGAGCACAACCUUGAUGAACAGGACGAGCUGGCGUACAGGUCGUCGUCAUCAGCAACAGGUUGUCGAGUCGGCGGGAGGCGCCCGCCGGCCUGUAGGUCUCCUCCAACUGUCAAACGUCACCGCUAGUGGCUGCAUUCGACGUGGUGUCCCCUGAGACACCGCCAUACAGGGCGCCUGUCUUGGCGCAUCCUUCACCGACCCAGCGUCGUGACGCCGCCGCUCAUGGCCGGCCUUCUACCCAGUGUCCAUUGGGAUCCCAGUGUCCGUUGGGAUACCGCCAUAUAGGGCGCCCAUCUUGGCGCACUUUUCAACAACUUGGCAUUGGUACGCCACCGCUCGCCGCGGCCUUCUAUGUGGUGUCCACUGAGACAUCACCAUACAGCGCGCCCGUCUUGGCGCACUCUUCAACAACUUGGCAUUGGUAGGCCAUUGCUCGUGGCGGCUUUCUACAUGAUGUCCGCCGGGACAUCGCCGUACACGGCGUCCGCAUUGGCGCACUCUUCACCAA